rnacentral:rRNA from 1 species
GAUGAACGCUGGCGGCGUGCCUAAUACAUGCAAGUCGAGCGAAUGGAUUAAGAGCUUGCUCUUAUGAAGUUAGCGGCGGACGGGUGAGUAACACGUGGGUAACCUGCCCAUAAGACUGGGAUAACUCCGGGAAACCGGGGCUAAUACCGGAUAACAUUUUGAACCGCAUGGUUCGAAAUUGAAAGGCGGCUUCGGCUGUCACUUAUGGAUGGACCCGCGUCGCAUUAGCUAGUUGGUGAGGUAACGGCUCACCAAGGCAACGAUGCGUAGCCGACCUGAGAGGGUGAUCGGCCACACUGGGACUGAGACACGGCCCAGACUCCGACGGGAGGCAGCAGUAGGGAAUCUUCCGCAAUGGACGAAAGUCUGACGGAGCAACGCCGCGUGAGUGAUGAAGGCUUUCGGGUCGUAAAACUCCGUUGUUAAGGAAGAACGCCAGGUAGAGUAACUGCUACCUGUGUGACGGUACUUAACCAGAAAGCCACGGCUAACUACGUGCCAGCAGCCGCAGUAA